UACGUAGGGUGCGAGCGUUAAUCGGAAUUACUGGGCGUAAAGCGUGCGCAGGCGGCUUUGCAAGACAGAUGUGAAAUCCCCGGGCUCAACCUGGGAAUGGCAUUCGGGACUGCAAGGCUGGAGUGCGGCAGAGGAGACUGGAAUUCCUGGUGUAGCAGUGAAAUGCGUAGAUAUCAGGAGGAAUACCGAUGGCGAAGGCAGGUCUCUGGGCUGACACUGACGCUCAUGCACGAAAGCGUGGGGAGCAAACAGG
rnacentral:rRNA from 1 species